rnacentral:tRNA from 1 species
CAGAGGGUAGUUUAACUUAGAAUUCUAGCUUUGGGAGCUAGGGGUGGGAGUUAAAAUCUCCUCUCUCUGA